UUCGAUAUCAGUGUAAUCUAAUAACCAUGAUAUUUGUGAAUAUGAUGCUUGUGUGAUGUUACUCUGAGUGCAUAUCCACACCGGGCAAGCUUGAAAAAUAUGCCAAGCCACAGUGGGAUUCAAACCGACCUGACCGCGUAGCUCAGUUGACAGAGCAUUGGCAUUUGGGCUAGUAUUCCAAAGGUCGUAGGUUCAAAUCCCACUGUGGCCAGGCAUAUUUUUCAAGCCUGCCCGGUGUGGAUAUACACUCAGAGUAACAUCACACAAGCAUCUCAUUUCAUCAAGUUCCUCCAGAUAUUCAUACACUUCCUGUGAAAGAGCCAAUUCCAAGUAUUUAAUCAUUUCUGG